UACCGAGGUUUUCCUCGGCAGUUAACUGCCGCCGGUUUCCUUCAAACUUCGGCAGUUAACUGCCGAGGAAAAC
rfam:Medicago truncatula strain A17 chromosome 5, whole genome shotgun sequence.